rnacentral:rRNA from 1 species
AGGAUGAACGCUAGCUACAGGCUUAACACAUGCAAGUCGAGGGGCAGCAUCAUCAAAGCUUGCUUUGAUGGAUGGCGACCGGCGCACGGGUGAGUAACACGUAUCCAACCUGCCGACAACACUGGGAUAGCCUUUCGAAAGAAAGAUUAAUACCGGAUGGCAUAAUUAUUCCGCAUGGGAUAAUUAUUAAAGAAUUUCGGUUGUCGAUGGGGAUGCGUUCCAUUAGGCAGUUGGCGGGGUAACGGCCCACCAAACCUACGAUGGAUAGGGGUUCUGAGAGGAAGGUCCCCCACAUUGGAACUGAGACACGGUCCAAACUCCUACGGGAGGCAGCAGUGAGGAAUAUUGGUCAAUGGACGAGAGUCUGAACCAGCCAAGUAGCGUGAAGGAUGACUGCCCUAUGGGUUGUAAACUUCUUUUAUACGGGAAUAAAGUGAGCCACGUGUGGCUUUUUGUAUGUACCGUAUGAAUAAGGAUCGGCUAACUCCGUGCCAGCAGCCGCGGUAAUACGGAGGAUUCGAGCGUUAUCCGGAUUUAUUGGGUUUAAAGGGAGCGUAGGCGGGUUGUUAAGUCAGUUGUGAAAGUUUGCGGCUCAACCGUAAAAUUGCAGUUGAUACUGGCGACCUUGAGUGCAACAGAGGUAGGCGGAAUUCGUGGUGUAGCGGUGAAAUGCUUAGAUAUCACGAAGAACUCCGAUUGCGAAGGCAGCUUACUGGAUUGUAACUGACGCUGAUGCUCGAAAGUGUGGGUAUCAAACAGGAUUAGAUACCCUGGUAGUCCACACAGUAAACGAUGAAUACUCGCUGUUGGCGAUAUACAGUCAGCGGCCAAGCGAAAGCAUUAAGUAUUCCACCUGGGGAGUACGCCGGCAACGGUGAAACUCAAAGGAAUUGACGGAAGGGCGA